AUUAGCCUUCACAUGGCCAACCUACUCAUAAGAGUAACAAAUCCUGGUGCUCACUCUCUUUGCCACAUUUGCAUAAUACCCUCAUGAACCUUGAGAAGUUCUAGCCAGCGUCGUUGCCUCAUGUUCAACUCCUUCUGAUUAAAGAGAUACUGGAGACUCUUAUGAUCAGUGAAGAGCUUGCACUUCGUGCCGUAGAGGUGAUGCCUCCAUAUCUUUAAGGCAAAAACUACCGCUGCCAACUCUAGAUCAUGAGUGGGGUAGUUCUUUUCGUGCUCUUUCAAUUGUCGAGAUGCGUAUGCUAUCACCUUUUCUCCUUGGGUCAGAACACAACCCAACCCGACUCCAGAAGCGUCACUAUAAACCGCGAAAUCUUCGACUCCAUCGGGUAGAGAAAGUAUCGGUGCUUCACAUAACUUCUUCUUUAGCUUCUCGAAUGCCUCAUCGUGUUUCUCACUCCACGUAUACGUAGCUCCUUUAUGAGUCAAAGCUGUUAAUGGAGCAGCUAUCGAAGAAAAGCCUUGGAUAAAUCGUCGAUAAUAUCCGGCUAAUCCUAGAAAGCUUCGAAUUUCCGUGGGACUCUUUGGACGUUCCCACUUCAUUACAGCCUCGAUCUUUGCGGGGUCAACCAUUAUUCCCUCUUGGUUAGCAACAUGACCCAAGAAUUGGACUUCCCGUAUCCAAAAGUCGCAUUUGGAGAACUUUGCAAAAAGCUUCUCCUUCUUCAACACUUCUAAUACUUCCCGUAGAUGCUUGCCAUGCUCCUCUUGGCUUUUCGAGUAGAUGAGAAUGUCGUCGAUGAACACUAUCACGGAUUUAUCGAGGAAUGGUUUACAAACCCUAUUCAUCAAAUCCAUGAAUGCUGCGGGAGCAUUGGUUAGCCCGAAUGACAUAACCAAGAACUCGUAGUGUCCAUAUCUCGUUCUGAAUGCAGUCUUCUCAAUAUCCUGCUUUCUCACCUUUAGCUGAUGAUAUCCUGACCUAAGAUCGAUCUUUGAGAAGUAGCUCGAACCUUGCAGCUGAUCGAAUAGGUCAUCAAUCCUCGGCAAUGGAUACUUGUUCUUCACCGUUGCCUUAUUCAGCUCUCGGUAGUCUAUACACAUUCUCAUACUUCCGUCCUUCUUCUUCACGAAUAACACCGGAGCUCCCCAGGGUGAUGAACUAGGUCGAAUAAAACCGUUGUCCAACAGCUCCUGAAGUUGCGUCAUGAGCUCCUUCAUCUCCGUCGGUGCUAAUCGGUAAGGUGCCUUUGCUAUCGGUGUUGUUCCUGGUAACAAGUCUAUACGAAACUCCACUUGCCUAUCAGGUGGUAAUCCGGGAAGAUCUUCGGGAAAGACUUCCGGAUAAUCACACACAACCGGUAUAUUCUGCACCUCUUUCUUCUCCUUCUUGGCAUCGAUUACGAAUGCCAAGUAUGAUGCACAUCCUUUGGACAAACAUUUCCUGGCUUUCAUCAGGGAGAUGAUUCCAGAAUUCACUCUGCGUUUGUCCCCAUACACCAUAAAUGAUUCUUUUCCGGGUGGGUUUACCUUUACUAUCUUCUUUCGGCAUUGAAUCUCAGCAUCGUUGGCGCUAAGCCAAUCCAUACCCAAAACGAUGUCGAAACCGUUUAACUCUAUGGGUAAUAGCUCUUCGUGGAAUUCGUUUCCGUUUAGGUCAAUGACGAUGUUCCUAAUACGAUUACUAACAGGUACGAAUUUGCCACUGGCAACUUCUACAAUCAGGGCAUUAUCUAGUUUUUCUACAGGCAAUGCUAAUUUCCCACCAAAUUUAUGCGACACAAAGGAGUAGUUGGCUCCGGAAUCAAAUAGUAUAUUUGCAGGCAAACCAUUUACAAGAAAGGUACCUGAAGCGACGUCUGCUGCCUCCUUUGCAGCCUCGAGCGUCAUCUGGAAGGCUCUCGCCUUCGGCUUCGGUGGUAUGUUGGGUCUUCCUGUCUCCUUCUUCUUCGGGCAGUCCUUCAAAAUGUGCCCUUCUUCAUUGCACCCAUAACAGGCUUUCUGGUUGAGGGUGCAUUCAUUGGCGUAGUGCCCAGGCUUUCCGCACUUGUAACAAGUGACCCCUCCGUCACACUUCCCAGAGUGCUUCUUCUUGCACUUGUCACACCACUUCGCUUCUGAUCCUCCUCCCCUCGAACCAGACUUCGAGAAUCUACUCUUCUUGUUGGACUUCGAGGAUCCAUUGAACUUCCGUUUCUCACCAACCUCAGCCCUCUCCAGACCUCUUUCCUUUUGUUGGGUCUCCACGUUCUUAGCUGCUCGAACAGCUGAUUUCAGAGUGGUUGCCAUCUUGACUGUUGGGCCAAAGUCAGCCGGCAGUCCGUUUGCGAAUUUCUCAAUUUUGGAAAGUUCGGUUGGCACUAGGUAUGGAAACAACUUCAUCUUUUCCGUAAAUGCAGCAGCAUAGUCAUCGAUGCUCAUUCUCCCCUUCUUCAAAUUUUGGAACUCAUUGUUCAGAUCAAUCAGGUCUAUCUCUGAACAGUACUGCGCCUUCAGUUGUUCCAAGAACUCAUCCCAUGACAUUUUCAGAGCUUCUCCCCGUGGCAUUGUAUCUGCCAAUAGCUUCCACCAGCUCAAGACUCCAGUUUUCAAUUGUCUCACAGCGAAGACAGUCUUCUGCUUCUCGCUGCAGUCGCAGCUCUCAAACACCAUCUCCAUCUCGGAGAUCCAGUCCAUAAUCUCAACAGGCUUUGGGCUUCCUGAGAGACUUGGUGGUUUCGCACCCAAGAAAUUUUUGUACAUCCGCCCAUCCUUGUUGUUUCUCCCUUCUGGGCCAUCCUUUUGCUCACCUUGAGUCCCUACUUGACUCACUUGGCGGCUAUAGUUCCCUUCCUCAGAUGGCUCGGGAACUGGCUCCGUCGGUUCAACAUGUAUGGUAGGUUCGUCCCUAUUUUCGUGGAGCAUCCGUCUCAUUUCUUCCCUUUGUUCAGCUAGCAUAGCCUGAAUCAUGGCUUGAACUCCAGCCAUGGUGACUGGCUCAGGUGCAACUUCUUCAACAACAGGUAUUUGCUGAACCACUGGGGGUUGGUUCCUACCUCCAUUUGCGUUCACGUUUCCGCUACGGGUCCUUGCCAUCUUGAUCUAUACACCGAAUAAGGUGAAUUUAGAUCUUUAUUUAGGAUAGACGUUUUAAAUCGUCCUUAUCACUCCGAAACGUUUACAUGCUAGUUCUAAUAUCGUAGUCGUACGUUUAGAAUCCUAAACACAUAAGGUUUCCAGAUCCGGUCGGCAACAGACCAUAGAUCCGAACAAUUAACAGCAUAUUAUGCACAAAGCAUUUAGCACAUAAAAGCAUUUUAGGCACAAUUCCUAAAAUAAGCUAGUGCUCACACCUCACAAUCAUCGCUUAGCAUUCUAAGUUUAAGUCUAGAAAUCCUACAAAUUCCUAGUUCGCUUAAACUAAUGCUCUGAUACCAACUGUGACAUCCCCAAAAUCACGGCCAGAAAAGACCGGUUUGUUUAUGCUUUGUUUAAAAAUCAGAGUUACAUUUUAAAUGAAAGUGUUGCGGAAUUUGUCCCAAAACAAAAAUAUGAUAAAGAUUUAUCAAAAGCAUUUCCAUAGAAAUGUAUUUCAUUAAAAGACUCGGGAUGUCAUGUUCGUACAGAUCAAAAGCAUAAACAGUACAAUAUAAGCCUUACUACAUUAUUUCAUAUCUACAGGCCUAUAUCCGUAAUCCCUCGUCCAAAACAUCACACCUAUGCUCAUGCGCCACUACCUGUAAUACAUAAAACUGAGUGGGUCAGGCUUGGGAGCCUGGUGAGCACAUAGGGUUUUCAACCCACAAUAAAUAAGUUUAUUAAUUUCAUCGAUCAACAAUAACCCGAUUACCCGUUCCCGUUAUCCUCACUUUACGUCCCUAAACACCUAUCAUAAGGGACCUAGCCUAAGGAUCAUCAUCGGGACGGACACUACUGCUAAGGGGAUUCCUCAGCAAUAAAUGUCCUAAAGGCAACCAUGUGGGGGAUGGAGUACACCGGUGAACAUAUCGUUCACAAACACCUACAGGUUGCGAGCCUGCUAGUGUUCCACUGGACUGUCUAGAAGAGUCCGUGGUCGUCAUCCAUACUCCGCUAGAUGACAGAAUCAACAACAUCAACAUCGAGGCCUCUCAUCAUUUUAUCACACAUCACCUAUUGCAUCUACCCAUGUUUUACCCCAACAUUUUCGUAGAUAUAAAAUACAUAUACAGUUUAAAUCAUUGAAAACAUGUAUAACAACGUUCAUCUAGCAUAGAUAGCAAGUAUUCAGAUAAUAUGCACACAUAGCACGUAAUUUAUAUAAAAUACUUCAUAUCUAUGUGUAAGUUGAAAGUAACUAUGCACUCACUUGUUAAGGUGAUGAUUCCAAAAUCGGGCAGCGCUUGCUUCUAACGAUUCUAUUUUCCUUCGACGAAACCUAGCAUUAUUAUCGCUAAAUUUUAGUCUAAUAUUUACCGUGACCAACUAUUAGUCUUAGUAUUAUUAUUAUUAUAUAAGCGUUAAACAAUAUUUUCCAACCACUAUGUACAGACAGGGGCCAGACAUAAAACACCGGAGGGCAGGACCAUUUUGGCAUAUAGCACUUCUGAAAUCCAACAACCCUAUGCGGCCCUUUAAACCAGAUUCCCCGUACCGCGAGUAGUUAAAAAAAAUAUUAUAACGACACUUAUAUAAGUUAUAAUAAUAGCUCAAAUAUUUAUUAUAAGUUCAUAAUAACAAUACUAAUUUUAAAUAUAAGCUAUAUUAAAAUAAGGUAAGCAUAACUUACUUACAAGGGGGUUUUAGCUAGGAGUCGGGCUCUGCAGGGGCAGAACUUCGUCGCUGAAUCUUUCUAAGAAAGAUUCGUGCAGCGCUUCAGCGCUCACCUUACUAUACUAAGCUACAGAAAGAGAAGUCGAAUCACGAGGGACCGAAAUGCUCGGGGGAUAAGGAGAGAAAGACUCUUGAAUCAAGAGAAUGGUGCAAGAAAUAUGAGAGCCCAAGGCUCUUAUUUAUACUAAUUGAAUUUUCAAAAACUACCCUCCAUAAUUACUUAAUGACCUUUUAGUUAUAUAAACAACUAAACACCCCUCUAUAAUACUAUUAUAAAUGGAUUUAAUGAUAUUUGUACUAAACUAAUGUCGAAAGAACUCAACAUUAGUCUUAUAAUGACCGCAUCGUCGAUACCUUUCUAAUGAUAUAUACAUAUGUAUAUAUAUGUGUACGUAUACAUGAUUUAUACUUUAUUUUAAUACGUAAAUAUGCUAUUAUAAUUUGUAACUCGUUCAUACGAACUCCGUUUUUGACGUUCUUUAUAUCCACGCGUAGGUGAAGACGUACUCUACAACUUUCGUUUAGACUCCGUCGGCUAAUUUUGACUUUAUUUUUAAAGUUAUAUUUUUAACAAGCCGGGACAGGAUUGGUCUGUUUAAAAUCUCAUAACUUCUUCAUACGAAGUCAGAUUUGGGCGUUCUUUUUAUCGAUGUUCUUAGUUUAACAUAUUCUACGACUUUCGUUUAGAUCACUAAGGCUAAAUCUCGCUCUAUCGUAAAUUCACUAUUCACGCUUCCCGGUAUCGUGCCGGUUCUGUCGUGAAACUUCGACGGGUCAUAACUUCUUCGUUAUAACUCGGAUUUCGGCGUUCCUUAUAUGCACGGAAACCUUGAGACAUAUUCUACAACUUUAUGUAGAGAUAUCGGGAUUAUCUCACACUUUAAUUUUGACGCUCAUUUUUAUUCUUUAUUAAUUAUACAUUUAUAAUUAAAUAAUAAACACAUAUAAUUCACAUAAUACUCAAAUAUUUCAUCUUUAUUACUUCAAAAAGAGUUACAAGAGUUGACCUAGACUAUUACAUUGACAAAAAUGCUUAGCCCUGAAACCCGGGCGUUACAAUUCUCUCCCCCUUAGGAUGAUUCCGUCCCGGAAUCAUGCAUCAGCAAACAGAUGUGGAUAGCGACUCAUCAUGUCAUCCUCUGUUUCCCAAGUGAGAUUCGGCCCAUUCGAAUGUUUCCAUCGGACUAGCACCAAGUCGACCAUCUUGCGUCGUAACUUCUUAGUCUUACGGUCAACAAUUGCCUCAGGCUCUUCGAUCAACCUUUUAUUUUCAUCCAUCCUUAACUCUGAGAUUGGAAUUAUGUCGGGAACAUCUCCCGUGAAUUUCCUCAAAUAACACACAUGGAAGGUGUUAUGAAUACCAUUGAGUUCUUCGGGCAAUUCCAGCUUGUAAGCUUGGUUCCCUAUCUUCUGAAGAACUUUGAACGGUCCAAUAAACCUUGGACUCAACUUUCCUCGUUUCCCAAAUCGUAUAAGUCCCUUCCACGGUGAGACUUUAAGCAAAACGGAAUCCCCAACUUCGAAAGUUAUCGGUCGUCUUUUCUUGUCAGCAUAGCUCUUCUGACGAUCCUGGGCUGCUAACAUCCUUUCCCUAAUCACCUUCAACUUCUCAGCAGUCUCAUGGACUAUCUCGGGGCCCAUAAACUGCUUCUCUCCGGCUUCAAGCCAACAAGACGGCGUACGACACUUCUGCCCAUACAAGGCUUGAUAAGGAGCCAUCUUGAUGCUCGAGUGAAAACUAUUGUUGUAGGAAAAUUCUACCAGAGGUAAGUGCUCGUCCCAAUUCCCUUGGAAUUCGAGGGUACAUGCUCUCAGCAUAUCUUCCAGCGUCUGAAUCGUUCUUUCGCUCUGACCAUCAGUUUGCGGAUGAUAAGCAGUACUCAAACACAACUUUGUACCUAACUCCUCUUGUAGACUCCUCCAAAACCUUGACGUGAAACGACUAUCACGAUCUGAUACAAUCGUAAGAGGGACACCGUGAAGUCUUACAAUUUCCUUCACGUAAGCAUUUGCGAGCUUAUCCAUAGACCACUUCUCGUUGGCUGCUAUGAAGUGUGCACUCUUGGUGAAACGAUCCACGACUACCCAAAUCAUGUCGUGACCGUUCUUCGUCCUGGGCAGUUUAGUCACAAAAUCCAUGGUGAUGUCUUCCCAUUUACCCAUGGGUACAGGUAAAGGUUCCAAACUCCCAUACGGUUUCUGAUGUUGUGCCUUAACCCUCGCACAUGUUACGCACUCGGCCACAUACUUCGCAACAUCGAGCUUCAUCGUCGGCCACCAGUAGUAGGGUUUUAGGUCCCUAUACAUUUUAGUGCUACCGGGAUGAAUCGAGUACAUGGUCUUGUGUGCUUCUUCCAUCAGAAGAUCUCUUAUUCCUCCCGUCUUAGGUACCCAAAUUCGAUCUUGGAAUACCUUCAGUCCUCGACUGUUUGUACCAAACACUAACGUUCUUCCCAAACGUUCUUCCUUUCGGUCAUUUUUCUCUAAAGCUUCUUCUUGAGCUUUCCUGAUACUUUCCACAAUCGUCGAGACGACUUCAAUUCUUAACGCUCUUGGCCUUUUCCUUUCCAGAUUGACUUUCCGACUGAGAGCAUCAGCAACAAUAUUUGCUUUACCUGGGUGGUAAAGUAUCUCACAGUCGUAGUCCUUGAGAAGUUCUAGCCAGCGUCGUUGCCUCAUGUUCAACUCCUUCUGAUUAAAGAGAUACUGGAGACUCUUAUGAUCAGUGAAGAGCUUGCACUUCGUGCCGUAGAGGUAAUGCCUCCAUAUCUUUAAGGCAAAAACUACCGCUGCCAACUCUAGAUCAUGAGUGGGGUAGUUCUUUUCGUGCUCUUUCAAUUGUCGAGAUGCGUAUGCUAUCACCUUUUCUCCUUGGGUCAGAACACAACCCAACCAGACUCCAGAAGCGCCACUAUAAACCGCGAAAUCUUCGACUCCAUC
rnacentral:lncRNA from 1 species